rnacentral:rRNA from 1 species
ACUCCUACGGGAGGCAGCAGUGGGGAAUAUUGCACAAUGGGCGCAAGCCUGAUGCAGCAACGCCGCGUGAGCGAAGAAGGUCUUCGGAUCGUAAGCUCUUUUCUUAGGGAAGAAACUGACGGUACCUAAGGAAUAAGCACCGGCUAAAUACGUGCCAGCAGCCGCGGUAAUACGUAUGGUGCAAGCGUUUAUCCGGAAUCACUGGCGUAAAGGGUGCGUAGCGGUUUUGCAAGUCAGAAGUGAAAGGCUACGGCUCAACCGUAGUAAGCUUUUGAAACUGCAAGACUAGAGUGCAGGAGAGGAAAGUGGAAUUCCUAGUGUAGAGGUGAAAUUCGUAGAUAUUAGGAGGAACACCAGUGGCGAAAGGCGACUUUCUGGACUGUAACUGACGCUGAUGCACGAAAG